GUGGGGAAUAUUGGGCAAUGGGCGAAAGCCUGACCCAGCGACGCCGCGUGGGGGAAGAAGUCCCUCGGGAUGUAAACCCUUGUUGUACGGGAAGAAACACUCCCUCGUGAGGGAGCUUGACGGUACCGUAAGAAUAAGGAUCGGCUAACUCCGUGCCAGCAGCCGCGGUAAUACGGAGGAUCCAAGCGUUAUCCGGAAUCAUUGGGUUUAAAGGGUCCGUAGGCGGUUUAAUAAGUCAGUGGUGAAAGCCCAUCGCUCAACGAUGGAACGGCCAUUGAUACUGUUAGACUUGAAUUACAAGGAAGUAACUAGAAUAUGUAGUGUAGCGGUGAAAUGCUUAGAUAUUACAUGGAAUACCAAUUGCGAAGGCAGGUUACUACUUGUGGAUUGACGCUGAUGGACGAAAGCGUGGGGAGCGAACAGGAUUAGAAACCCGAGUAGUCC
rnacentral:rRNA from 1 species